rnacentral:lncRNA from 13 species
GAAUGGAGGUGAGGAGAACUGGAAAGACACAGUUGGAAACUCUUUGACCUGGGGCAUCUAUGAACAUAGGAUCUCCAUUUUAAAGCCAUAGAAACCUGAACAUCUGCAGAUUUUGGUAUUGAAAGGAGGUGCUGGAACUAAUUGCACAAGGAUAAUGAGGAACAACUAUACUUCAUCUUGUGGGACUCCACGGAUGGAUUCCCGUCUCUUCUGGGUCUGUGAGGCAUGGGGUCCUGUGGCCGGGCUCACACAGGAGGAACACCUGCGUCUGCAUACUUCUGUAAUCCAUUGCUCAGACAGUCUGUCGGUCAGACUUGGCAGCUGGUGGCCCUGUGUGAAGAUUGCUGCAAUGGAUCACUAAUCAUGAUGGAACCCUUGAAAAUCAAGGUGAAGAGACUGCACAGUCAGUAAGUCAGUAAGUCAUAGGUGCCCCCUCAGGAUUUCCAUGCUCCAGGGAAUCGUCCAGGCUAGGGUUUCCUCAUGGGACAACAGCUAUCAGCGCCACAGAAACAGUAUAUAAAAGUAUUGAAACAGCUGCUUAAAGCUAAUGGAGCCACGGUUUCACAGGCUCAAUUAAGGAACCUAAUGCAAACUGUUGUUUCCCACAACCCAUGGUUCUUGGAAGUAGAUAUGCUAGACAUAGAACUCUGGGAACAAGUGAGAAGAAAUCUUAAACAGCAUCAUGUGCAAGGGUAAUGGGUCCCAGUAACACCUUUAAUGUUAUGGGCCUUAGUUAGGACUGCUCUGGCCCCGCUAUACACAGAAGACCCUAAAAAGGCAAGAGAGAUGGAACCGUUAUCUUCUUUACUGCCUUCUCCCUCUCCCUCAGCCCAGCAAUUACUGGUUAAAAAUAUUAAAGAGGAAAUGAAGAUUUUGCCUGAGCCCCCUCUCCCAAUAAAUUGGAAAAAAGGCAAGGGAUACACUACAGCUAUGGGACCUCGUCUUAGGCAAGUGGCAUUAGAAGAGGAGCUGUUGGCCUACCAGGCCCCCUUUGGUUUCCAGAACAAUGCAUCAAACCAUACCAUGGAAUGGCUAUGAUCCAACCAGAGAUGAAGAAAAUAACCCUGCAGAACCCACAGGACAAUGCAGACAAUGUGGCUUCCUCAGACAACACAAGCCCUGGACAUUACCUGGG